ensembl:ribozyme RNaseP_nuc Nuclear RNase P
GGAGGGAAGCUUUCAUUGGGGCUACAAGCUGAGUACAUUACAUCACUCCCUAACCCAGCCUUUGGGAAGAUCUGAGACAAGGGCCAAUAGGGCCCUAGCAGGGCUUCUCCCGCAAUUCUGGGGGGUAAGUAACCAGAAAAUGGGGCCCGGUUCAGGGAUAAACUGGGCAGGAGAUGCUUGUUCUUUAGCUUUCUCUAAUCUUGAUUUUCCCUUGAAACUGGUAAAUUCUACUUUUGCUAUUACUCUGGUGAGGGUUGACUGGGACAGGUCUUUUUCUUUUCUUCAUUUGUUCCAUUUACCCUGCUCUCGAAUAAUGAGGCUUCUAACUCU